GUUGGAUUUUAGUCACGUAGUGAAAAAUAAUUUUCAAAAAAUUUAAAAUAAGCAAAUCAAUAGCUUUAUCAAAUAAAACUAUCGAGCCGAAUCCAAAAUCCUAGAAUCACUUUGUCGAUCACGAUCAAAGCAAAUUCAAGCAUGCAAAGAGAUAGAAAAUUAUACUUUAACCAAUAUUAAAAAGUGGCACAUUGAUGUUUUUUACAAGACCCCAAAGUAGAAGUCCUCCAACGGUGAUCCACACGGAAGUUGGUCCAAGUUCUUCCCAACCGGUGCACUGCUGCAGUCUUAUUUUCUCAAGAACACUGACGACUUCGAACUUGCGUCACGAUUGCACCAAAGUCCAAUUACUUUCGAUCUCACCACUAGAACGAUAUCAAGAAGACAUUCUUCAGAUGUCACACAACCUAGGAUUUAAUUUUUAGCUCCAAUAUAUGAAAAAAUCAAAUCCUAGGGUACUCAAGCAACACUUGCUGAAAAUCUCACCACCCUUGUAGCAACUUUUGCCACUCAAAAUUUUUUUUUUCUCAAAAUUUUUUCAGAAUUUUUCUUAUGUUUACCACACCCCUCUUCUUGGUCUCAACCAAAAAUCACCACAAGAAGCCAUGUGGGGCAUCCCCUAUAAAUAGGGGACCAGGGGACGUCACAUGGGAUGAAGGGG
rnacentral:lncRNA from 1 species